rnacentral:tRNA from 12 species
GCCCGGGUGGUCCAGGGGUAAGAUUCAUCGUUCGGGUUCCAAACCUUGUCUCGAUGAGACCCGCGUUCGAAUCGCGGCUCGGGCC